CAACAGUGGAGGAAUUGGCUCCAGGAAGGAACAGCAUUGGCUGGAAUGCCUUGACUGGAAACUCUGCUUGUCAACGGUACCUGGAGCAGGGUUUGUUGAUAAAAACCCUUCCUUGGAUCCCUCCCCAGCAUGAGCCUAAUGAAAGAGCCAUUUGUUUGCAUGGUUGUUGCCUUCCCUAUGGACAGGUGCCAUUUUCAGUGAAACCAUCUCAAACAGCACGUGCGACUCACGGAAGUCACACAGCACCAGGGUAGAGAACAGACCUGUGGGCUGGUGAAUCCUUAGCAUCAGGAAACGUUUGCAGCUGCUCGUGAAAGCCCCUGAGGAGCUCUGGAGCCUGUGCUUCCCUUCCUCCUGACACGUGCAGUUUGUGCAGAGAUGGCAAAAUUCCUGGUGUCAGUCACAGGUUUGGUGGAAGACAUCCUAUCAGAAACAUCUCUGCGUCAUCCGGUUGGCCAAGACACCUGCAGGUUAGUUUCCAAUUCAGUAAUGCGUGACCUCCUGAUUAAAGCAUUUACAUAGUUUGUAACUAAAAAACAGUCCUAAAGGAUCAGACCUCAAACCUGCUGAAAUGUACCUAAAUCUUUAAUUGUUUGCAGUAAACUCUGGAUCGAGUCUUGAAACUGUUAAUUAGGAAUCCUCUAAAGUGAUGGUGUAAGCGCUGUGCUGGUAAAGUGCAGGUUGCACAGCAGUGAUGGGGUGGUAAAUCCCAAGGAGAAGUUAGGUUACCGUGAUCUGCAGUGCUUAGUGAAAUGGAUUCAAGCCAGCAAAAUUGUCUUAAUCCAGGCAAUUGCUUUUGUGUAAUCCUGUAAUUGGGUUAAGCUUGUAGCCCGGGACACUCUGCAAAAGGUUCAUCCUGUUCAACCUGGGGACUUCACUGUGGUAUGCAAGGUGGAGUGUCAUCGCCCUCAACAGUGGGCAGAAAUAGGGACGGCCAGAGGGUGACCCAGGUCUUGGUGGUCUCGCUGCCUCGGUGAGUGCUUUUUCUCUCUCUGGAUGAAGAGAGCUGAGGGAAGUGCCUGCUGUUUGGUGGGGACAAUCUGGAUCUGCAACCUGGAGGGAUGGAAGCUGGAAAGAAUCUGGGAAGUACUGCAGACAUUGCUGUUGGUAGGACCCCCAGUGAAUGGUGUGUACUGUGACUACAAGGGACAAGGUUCCCUUGGAGACUGGUUAGGGGAGUUAUUUUAAGGUGACGUCUGAUAGGUUUGUGGAAGGAAUUGUAUGACAAAUCAGCAAUUCCUAGGACCUGAAAAAGCUUUGAUAUGAGUCCUUGCAUAGCUAAUCUGUUGAUAUCCCCAAUGGGGAUGAACGAGAUCAGAUCACUCUUUAUUUAUAGCAUAUUUAUACAAAUUCAGUGUUCCGAGGCUGCUUCCAUUCACCUUUGAGAUCAGGAAGGAACGUUUUUCUUCCUUGAUGCAUAAUUUGGUUUCUGGUGGGCUGGGGGAGCUCUUCCAGGACUCAGCAGCCCUGAAGCCUGCAGCAUGGGAGGAGGUAAGCAGCUCCCUUCUGCUGGCAUCUCAUUCUCUCCAGUGCCUGAUCGUUGCACUCAGUCUCCAGACCUGAGGUCAAGAGGGGAUUUUCCCUCCAGGUUCAUUGGGGCCAGCGCACCAGGACUUGUCUGGACCAAGCUUCUACCAAGUGUUGGGAUCGGCCUGUUUGGGGCAAGACUCUGUUGGGCUGACAACCAUGAGAUUUGGUGUUUUCAGUGUGACUGGAGUUUGUGCAGUGUGGAGGCUACUGAGGAUUUCUGCUUUUGCUGCCUCCCCCGUGUCAGACAGGCAGUCUGGCCCCAUGACAAGCCGAAGGUGCCCUGCUACCAAUUCAACAUCUCAGUUCCUGAGUCAGUGCAAACCCUCGAGCCCACUGAAGGAAGCAACCAAGCCGCAGGGAUGUCAACAGGACCAGGUUGCUGUUCACGGCCUCUUUCUGUGGUGGGACACAUCACCACCCCUCUGGGAGAAGAAAGAAACCAAGGCAGUGUCAAAAGAAAA